rnacentral:rRNA from 1 species
CCUACGGGAGGCAGCAGUGGGGAAUAUUGGGCAAUGGGCGCAAGCCUGACCCAGCAAAGCCGCGUGAAGGAAGAAGGCUUUCGGGUUGUAAACUUCUUUUGUCAGGGAAGAGUAGAAGACGGUACCUGACGAAUAAGCCACGGCUAACUACGUGCCAGCAGCCGCGGUAAUACGUAGGUGGAAAGCGUUGUCCGGAUUUACUGGGUGUAAAGGGCGUGUAGCCGGGUUGACAAGUCAGAUGUUAAAUCCUGCGGCUUAACCGCAGAACUGCAUUUGAAACUGUUGAUCUUGAGUACUGGAGAGGCAGACGGAAUUCCUAGUGUAGCGGUGAAAUGCGUAGAUAUUAGGAGGAACACCAGUGGCGAAGGCGGUCUGCUGGACAGCAACUGACGGUGAGGCGCGAAAGCGUGGGGAGCAAACAGGAUUAGAUACCCUUGUAGUC